rnacentral:rRNA from 1 species
UACAGAGGGUGCAAGCGUUGUUCGGAAUUACUGGGCGUAAAGCGUGCGUAGUCGGUAUUGAGAGUCGCGGGUGAAAUCCCAGGGCUUAACCCUGGAACUGCCUGCGAGACCUCAGUACUAGAGUGUGAGAGGGGGAUAGUGGAAUACCAAGUGUAGCGGUGAAAUGCGUAGAGAUUUGGUGGAACACCGGUGGCGAAGGCGGCUAUCUGGCUCACAACUGACGAUCAGGCACGAAAGCGUGGGGAGCAAACAGG